rnacentral:lncRNA from 1 species
AGACACCAAAGCAGAGUAAUGGGAAACAUCAGUCUUAGGGAGAGGAUGUCCACUCCUGUGCUGAGGACAGCUGAAAAAGCAGCAGCAUUUGAGAUACCCAAACUGCCAGGAUGGUGAUUGCAAGACAGUUUUAUGGAUAUCGAGUUGAUCUGGCUUAAAAUACCAGCUGUGAGACACAUGAGGGAAAUUUCCUUGAGACCUGUUUCUAGCCCCCUAGGAAUCCACCCUUUGAUUGACUCAACUUCCUGGCUUGUGUCUAAGAAUUUGGCCUCAACAGCCAGUUCAGAGAACAGUGCUGUAUGAGGUGGUAUAACAUUCUGAAGUGCCUUGGGUUUCCUUGAUGGAGCCAUGAUGAACCAUGUUGCCAUCACAGUGGCCAAAAACCUGUUUAUCAUCUCAGCGAAUAGGAACAAGCUGAACAGACUUCUUGCUUUCAGUAUGGGUGCCCUGGUGAUGAACAGAGUUAAGAAACACAAUCUAGAACUAAGAAUGAAGGGACCUAGAUCAGUGGCAGUCCAAGAUAAAAGGGCAUACUGAAGAAAAGAAGCUGGCAUAGGCUAGACAUGGUACUCCACUCACUUGAGAGGUAGAAGAGGAAGACCAGGUGUUCAAGGACAACUUUGUGUAUAUAUUGAAAGGCGAUGGAAGAGCCUGACUAUCAAUCAACUAAGCACCAACCAAACAUGGGUUCAAAUCUUGUGAAUAACCCUUUCAAGCUGAUGGCUUACUGUUCACAUUUCUUGUGUUUUCACAAGGUACAAUUGUUUUAGUUUUAGUUUUCCUUGGACAACGCUAACUGGAUUUAGUGGAUUGUAUAUACAAAGAAGGAAGAGGAGGAGGAGAAAUAAGGAAACAUGAAGUUGAAUGAGGGAUGUGUUGGAGGUUACAGGAGGAGUUGAAAGAGGAAACUGAUAUGCUU